rnacentral:tRNA from 1 species
GGGUGUUUAGCUCAGUGGUAGGGUGCGUACUUAGUAUGCAUGAGAUCCUGGGUUCAAUCCCCAGUACCUCUA